GCACUAAAUGAAUAAUUAUUCUUUAUUUAUUUAUAUGUUUAUUAUAAUACUUUUAAGUCCAUCUUAUAGAAAAUUUUAUAUUUUCUAACUGAAAAAAAUUUUUAUUGUAACUCGCCUUAAUUCUUAUUUAUUUGCUGCACUUUGAUUUGUAUUAAACUUUUAAAUAAAAUUUUGAAUUUACUAAAAGUAAAUUCAUGACAACGGUAUACAAGCUUUUGUAAAUAAGUACAGUGUUCUUGGUGACUAUCAAUUAUAUGGUAAGUUCCCCUAAAUACUACAUUCAGCCGCCAUAAUAUUUAAGUUUGGGUUUUAUAUUAACAUUAAUUCUUGUUUAAGUAUAUUAAUCUCCAUAUAACUGGGUAUCUAAUCCAGGUUUAAUUUUGGAGGUUGGCUAUAAAAUAUAUAGUUAAUUUAUUAAAAAAAUAAUAUUUUACUACGUAUUAAAGUUUUGUGUAUAUUUGAUAGAUAAACAAAUACUAUAAAUUUGUCUAAUAGGUAUGACCGCGGUUGCUGGCACCUAAUAAACCUAGACUAUAUAAUUAUCUAAAUUUAAAUUUCUUUAAUAGUUUAAAAUUUUUAACUGGAGAAAUGUUAACACUCCAUAUUAAGUUAGAUUAUAAACUUAUAGGUCCACCAUAUUAAAAUGGUAAAUCUAAGGGGGUGUGUACCAUUUUAGA
rnacentral:rRNA from 1 species